UACACAUGCAAGUCGACGGUGAACACGGAGCUUGCUCUGUGGGAUCAGUGGCGAACGGGUGAGUAACACGUGAGCAACCUGCCCCUGACUCUGGGAUAAGCGCUGGAAACGGCGUCUAAUACUGGAUAUGUGACGUGACCGCAUGGUCUGCGUCUGGAAAGAAUUUCGGUUGGGGAUGGGCUCGNGGNCUAUCAGCUUGUUGGUGAGGUAAUGGCUCACCAAGGCGUCGACGGGUAGCCGGCCUGAGAGGGUGACCGGCCACACUGGGACUGAGACACGGCCCAGACUCCUACGGGAGGCAGCAGUGGGGAAUAUUGCACAAUGGGCGCAAGCCUGAUGCAGCAACGCCGCGUGAGGGAUGACGGCCUUCGGGUUGUAAACCUCUUUUAGCAGGGAAGAAGCGAAAGUGACGGUACCUGCAGAAAAAGCGCCGGCUAACUACGUGCCAGCAGCCGCGGUAAUACGUAGGGCGCAAGCGUUAUCCGGAAUUAUUGGGCGUAAAGAGCUCGUAGGCGGUUUGUCGCGUCUGCUGUGAAAUCCGGAGGCUCAACCUCCGGCCUGCAGUGGGUACGGGCAGACUAGAGUGCGGUAGGGGAGAUUGGAAUUCCUGGUGUAGCGGUGGAAUGCGCA
rnacentral:rRNA from 2 species